UACAGAGGUCUCAAGCGUUGCUCGGAAUUACUGGGCGUAAAGGGUCCGUAGGCGGUGUAGCAAGUCGAUAGUGAAAUCUCUGGGCUUAACCCAGAGGCUGCUAACGAAACUGCUGUGCUAGAGUGUGAGAGAGGCGAGUGGAAUUACGGGUGUAGCGGUGAAAUGCGUAGAUAUCCGUAGGAACAUCCGAGGCGAAGGCGGCUCGCUGGAUCACAACUGACGCUGAGGGACGAAAGCUAGGGUAGCAAACGGG
rnacentral:rRNA from 1 species